rnacentral:rRNA from 1 species
UUGCUCCACCGGAAAAAGAGGAGUGGCGAACGGGUGAGUAACACGUGGGUAACCUGCCCAUCAGAAGGGGAUAACACUUGGAAACAGGUGCUAAUACCGUAUAACAAUCNAAACCGCAUGGUUUUGAUUUGAAAGGCGCUUUCGGGUGUCGCUGAUGGAUGGACCCGCGGUGCAUUAGCUAGUUGGUGAGGUAACGGCUCACCAAGGCCACGAUGCAUAGCCGACCUGAGAGGGUGAUCGGCCACAUUGGGACUGAGACACGGCCCAAACUCCUACGGGAGGCAGCAGUAGGGAAUCUUCGGCAAUGGACGAAAGUCUGACCGAGCAACGCCGCGUGAGUGAAGAAGGUUUUCGGAUCGUAAAACUCUGUUGUUAGAGAAGAACAAGGAUGAGAGUAACUGUUCAUCCCUUGACGGUAUCUAACCAGAAAGCCACGGCUAACUACGUGCCAGCAGCCGCGGUAAUACGUAGGUGGCAAGCGUUGUCCGGAUUUAUUGGGCGUAAAGCGAGCGCAGGCGGUUUCUUAAGUCUGAUGUGAAAGCCCCCGGCUCAACCGGGGAGGGUCAUUGGAAACUGGGAGACUUGAGUGCAGAAGAGGAGAGUGGAAUUCCAUGUGUAGCGGUGAAAUGCGUAGAUAUAUGGAGGAACACCAGUGGCGAAGGCGGCUCUCUGGUCUGUAACUGACGCUGAGGCUCGAAAGCGUGGGGAGCAAACAGGAUUAGAUACCCUGGUAGUCCACGCCGUAAACGAUGAGUGCUAAGUGUUGGAGGGUUUCCGCCCUUCAGUGCUGCAGCUAACGCAUU